rfam:Schistosoma mansoni strain Puerto Rico chromosome 1, complete genome
AUCCAACUGAAGAGUCACAAAUAGGUCGAAACGCACGUCAAACUGGAU